GGGAUCCGAAUCUUCUAAUUUUUAAGACCUAGCAAUAGGUAUGCUUAGAGAGGAGCUUGCGUCACAUUAGUUAGUUGGUGGGGUAAAAGCCUACCAAGACGAUGAUGUGUAGCCGGGCUGAGAGGUCGAACGGCCACAUUGGGACUGAGACACGGCCCAAACUCCUACGGGAGGCAGCAGUAAGGAAUUUUCGGCAAUGGAGGAAACUCUGACCGAGCAACGCCGCGUGAACGAUGAAGUAUUUCGGUACGUAAAGUUCUUUUAUUAGGGAAGAAAAGAUGGUGGAAAAACCAUUAUGACGGUACCUAGUGAAUAAGCCCCGGCUAACUAUGUGCCAGCAGCCGCGGUAAUACAUAGGGGGCAAGCGUUAUCCGGAAUUAUUGGGCGUAAAGGGUGCGUAGGCGGUUAAAUAAGUUUAUGGUCUAAGUGCAAUGCUUAACGUUGUGAUGCUAUAAAAACUGUUUAGCUAGAGUUGGAUAGAGGCAAGUGGAAUUCCAUGUGUAGUGGUAAAAUGCGUAAAUAUAUGGAGGAACACCAGAAGCGAAGGCGGCUUGCUGGGUCUUAACUGACGCUGAGGCACGAAAGCGUGGGGAGCAAACAGGAUUAGAUACCCUGGUAGUCCACGCCCUAAACGAUGAGUACUAAACGUUGGGUAAAACCAGUGUUGAAGUUAACACAUUAAGUACUCCGCCUGAGUAGUACGUACGCAAGUAUGAAACUUAAAGGAAUUGACGGGACUCCGCACAAGCGGUGGAUCAUGUUGUUUAAUUCGAAGGUACCCGAAAAACCUCACCAGGUCUUGACAUGCUUUUGCAAAGCUGUAGAAAUACAGUGGAGGUUAUCAAUUGCACAGGUGGUGCAUGAUUGUCGUCAGCUCGUGUCGUGAGAUGUUGGGUUAAGUCCCGCAACGAACGCAACACUUGUUGUUAAUUGCCAGCAUGUAAUGAUGGGAACUUUAGCAAGACUGCCAGUGAUAAAUUGGAGGAAGGUGGGGACGACGUCAAAUCAUCAUGCCCCUUAUGACCUGGGCUACAAACGUGAUACAAUGGCUGUUACAAAGGGUAGCUAAAGCGUAAGCUUUUGGCGAAUCUCAAAAAAGCAGUCUCAGUUCGGAUUGAAGUCUGCAACUCGACUUCAUGAAGUUGGAAUCGCUAGUAAUCGCGAAUCAGCAUGUCGCGGUAAUACUAACC
rnacentral:rRNA from 1 species